UUAACGAACUAGACUUAAAAAACAGACACAACUUGUCAAACGACACAACAUCCACAAGAAUGUCCACCGCCACCACCAGUUUUUUCGAACCAGCCUCCGUGACCAGCAGUGGCCGUCCAGUCCUCCACCAAGCCGAAGUAGAAUGCCACCUCCUCUCACCUGUAGACCUUGAAACCGAACCCACCACCACCGCGACAACCACCAUCAAUUCACUUGACUUCCCUGCAUUAAAAUCAGGCCUUGGAAUCCUCACCACACACCGCCUCCUUUGGCUUCCUUCUAAUGCUACGACAGACAGUUCAAGUCCAAUAUCAAUCCCUUUGAGUUCUGUAACUCAUAUAUUUUCACCAAAAAAGUCGAUCAAGUCAAUGUUUCACUCACCCCGGAUCCGGUUUCAAGUUUCUAUGCAUUCAAGGAGUGUUGUGGUGACUUUAGUGAUUAGAGGGAAGGGAGAUAUUGAUGGGUUUUUGACAAAGUUUUGGGAUUGUUGGAGAGGAAGGGCUUGGGAGACUGGUAAUGAUAGUGGCGGUGGGUCAAGUUCGGGGUCUGUUCCGGCUUCUGGGUCAGUUUCGGGUGGUGGGUUAUACUCGAGUGAUGGGUCAGUGAGGCUAGUGGGUGUGUCUGGGAUAUUGAGGAAAGAGCAGGAGAUGUGGGAAAGUACUGAUAAGAGCUUGCAAGAGGCUUUUCAUGACUUGAAUGCUCUUAUGAGAAAGGCCAAAGAAAUGGUCAUCCUAGCAGAGAAGAUGAGGCAGAAGCUUUUGUCUGGAUCGAGCUCUCAAAGUAGUUCUGGGAAUGAUGAGGAAAUGGGUUCCAAAGAAGAGAUGCAAGAUUGGCUGUUGAGUGUUGGUAUCGUAUCUCCAGUAACAAAAGAAUCUGCAGGUGCCAUGUAUCAUCAACAACUGUCCCGUCAGUUGGCAGAUUUUGUCAGAAUUCCCCUAGAGAAAGCUGGAGGAAUGAUCAAUCUUAUAGAUAUCUAUUGCCUCUUCAAUCGUGCUCGGGGCACAGAAUUGAUCUCACCUGAGGAUUUGUUGCAAGCAUGUUCUCUUUGGGAGAAGUUUGAUGUUCCAGUAAUGCUUCGGAAAUUUGAUAGUGGAGUGAAGGUCAUCCAGAAUAAGUCCCAUAGUGAUGAGGAGGUUUUUGCAAGAAUCAAAAACCUUGUAUCAAAGCCUGAAGCCCUGCGGUCUGGAAUAACUGCUAGUGAUGCUGCCAUGACAUUGGGUAUUGCUCCAGCUAUGGCCAAGGAGCAUCUUCUAACUGCUGAGAGCAAAGGAUUGCUAUGCAGGGAUAUAAGCCCUGAUGGAUUUCGCUUUUUCAUUAACCUCUUUCCUGAAAUCAAUUCUGAUGAUAUACACAUGUAAGGGUGAAGGAUCAUGGGAUUUAUUCUCUGUGGAUAAAAAGUUGGUAGCUGUUUCUGCUCAGAAAUCUGAAACCAGCACACAGCAUGACAAUUGUCUAUUAAUGCAGAGAAUUUUUUUUCCCCUUUCACUCAAUCAGCCAUCAAAUGCCAAUCAAACCUUGAUAGGCCAGGAUUUAAGGUGGCAUUGCGACGUGAUGAUCGCAAGGUAGCUGCUGCAGCACAGAGACAUGGUUUUUAACACACGAUCAAGUCAACCUAAAUCAAACAAAUGAAUGACAACUUUGUUGGUGUUACUUUUGGAGAUGAUACUCUUAAUUUCUGGGACAGUAAAUACAAGGAAAUACAAUAUUUUGUGUAAGAGUGAUCUUUGUAAUUUAUGGAUCAAGUAAAUACAUAACUGCAAGGAGCAUCAUGCUUUAUUCAUCUAUCCAAUUUAGGACUAUGUCCUGAGAGAAAUCAGGAUUUGGUGUUUUUGCCA